AUUCUGGGGUGGGAAUUUCAGGAAUUCUGACUGGAAUUUUUUGGGAAUUCUGGCUGGGAUUUUUUGGGAAUUCUGGGCUGGAAUUUCAGGAAUUGUGGCUGGGAUUUGUUGGGAAUUCUGGGAAUUCUGGGGUGGAAUUUCAGGAAUUUUGGCUGGAAUUUUUUGGGAAUUCUGGCUGGGAUUUUUUGGGAAUUCUGGGCUGGAAUUUCAGGAAUUG
rnacentral:lncRNA from 1 species